rnacentral:lncRNA from 1 species
CCAGUAGCCUCCUUUUUUUCCAGACAAAGUGUUGUGAACCCACCUGGGCACGAGGCCUAGUCUUGUGGAAACGGAACUUAGCUUCAUGGGGCGGACAGCUCUGGCCCAGGGUGGUAUGUAAG